GCUGGGUGUGGUGGCACAUGCCUGUAAUCCCAGCUACUCGGGAGGCUGAGGCACGAGAAUCACUUGAACCUGGGAGGUGGAGGUUGCAGUGAGCCGAGAUCGCGCCACUGCACUCCAGCCUGGGUGACAGAGUGAGACUGUGCCUCAA
rnacentral:SRP_RNA from 1 species